CAGUCGCCGCGGGAAUACGAAGGGGGCUAGCGUUGCUCGGAAUUACUGGGCGUAAAGGGAGCGUAGGCGGGUCGUUUAGUCAGAGGUGAAAUCCCGGGGCUCAACCUCGGAACUGCCUUUGAUACUGGCGACCUUGAGUAUGGGAGAGGUAAGUGGAAUUCCACGUGUAGCGGUGAAAUGCGUAGAGAUGUGGAGGAACACCAGUGGCGAAGGCGACUCUCUGGUCUGUAACUGACGCUGAGGAGCGAAAGCGUGGGGAGCGAACAGGAUUAGAUACCCCUGUAGUCCCUGUCUCUUAUAC
rnacentral:rRNA from 1 species